UGGGGAAUAUUGCACAAUGGGCGCAAGCCUGAUGCAGCCAUGCCGCGUGUGUGAAGAAGGCCUUCGGGUUGUAAAGCACUUUCAGCGAGGAGGAAGGUGGUGAGCUUAAUACGCUCAUCAAUUGACGUUACUCGCAGAAGAAGCACCGGCUAACUCCGUGCCAGCAGCCGCGGUAAUACGGAGGGUGCAAGCGUUAAUCGGAAUUACUGGGCGUAAAGCGCACGCAGGCGGUUUGUUAAGUCAGAUGUGAAAUCCCCGGGCUCAACCUGGGAACUGCAUUUGAAACUGGCAAGCUAGAGUCUCGUAGAGGGGGGUAGAAUUCCAGGUGUAGCGGUGAAAUGCGUAGAGAUCUGGAGGAAUACCGGUGGCGAAGGCGGCCCCCUGGACGAAGACUGACGCUCAGGUGCGAAAGCGUGGGGCAGCAAACAGGAUUAGAUACCCUGGUAGUCCACGCUGUAAACGAUGUCGAUUUUGGAGGUUGUGCCCCUUGAGGCGUGGCUUCCGGAGCUAACGCGUUAAAUCGACCGCCUGGGGAGUACGGCCGCAAGGUUAAAACUCAAAUGAAUUGCGGGGUCU
rnacentral:rRNA from 1 species